rnacentral:rRNA from 1 species
ACCCGCUGAACUUAAGCAUAUCAAUAAGCGGAGGAAAAGAAACCAACAGAGAUUGCCCUAGUAACGGCGAGUGAAGCGGCAACAGCUCAAAUUUGAAAUCUGGCGUCUUUGGCGUCCGAGUUGUAAUUUGCAGAGGGCGCUUUGGCAUUGGCAGCGGUCCAAGUUCCUUGGAACAGGACGUCACAGAGGGUGAGAAUCCCGUACGUGGUCGCUAGCCUUUACCGUGUAAAGCCCCUUCGACGAGUCGAGUUGUUUGGGAAUGCAGCUCUAAAUGGGAGGUAAAUUUCUUCUAAAGCUAAAUACUGGCCAGAGACCGAUAGCGCACAAGUAGAGUGAUCGAAAGAUGAAAAGCACUUUGGAAAGAGAGUUAAAAAGCACGUGAAAUUGUUGAAAGGGAAGCGCUUGCAGCCAGACUUGCCUGUAGUUGCUCAUCCGGGUUUUUACCCGGUGCACUCUUCUAUAGGCAGGCCAGCAUCAGUUUGGGCGGUUGGAUAAAGGUCUCUGUCAUGUACCUCUCUUCGGGGAGAACUUAUAGGGGAGACGACAUGCAACCAGCCCGGACUGAGGUCCGCGCAUCUGCUAGGAUGCUGGCGUAAUGGCUGU